UAGGGAAUCUUCGGCAAUGGGGGGAACCCUGACCGAGCAACGCCGCGUGAGUGAAGAAGGUUUUCGGAUCGUAAAGCUCUGUUGUUAAGGAAGAACGAGUGUGAGAAUGGAAAGUUCAUGCUGUGACGGUACUUAACCAGAAAGGGACGGCUAACUACGUGCCAGCAGCCGCGGUAAUACGUAGGUCCCGAGCGUUGUCCGGAUUUAUUGGGCGUAAAGCGAGCGCAGGCGGUUAGAAAAGUCUGAAGUGAAAGGCAGUGGCUCAACCAUUGUAGGCUUUGGAACCUGUUUAACUUGAGUACAGAAGGGGAGAGUGGAAUUCCAUGUGUAGCGGUGAAAUGCGUAGAUAUCUGGAGGGACGCAAGUGGCGAAAGCGGCUCUCUGGUCUGUCACUGACGCUGAGGCUCUAAAGCGUGGGGAGCGAACAGG
rnacentral:rRNA from 1 species